UGAUGUGAGGGUGAUCUGGCUGCGACAUCUAUCACCCCAGUGAUCGCCAGGGUUGAUUUGGCUGAUCUGGCUGGCUAGGCGGGUGUCCCCUUCCUCCCCCACCGUUCCAUGUGCGUCCCUCCUGAAGCUGCGCGCUCGGUUGAAGAGGACGGCCUUCCCCAAAUAGAAAGGGAGAGACCUGCAGGCCUGCUUCACUGCUUGUGAAGCUUCCCUCCUGCAGGUGGGGACCAGGGGCUUGAACCCAGAUCCUGGCCUGUGGUAAUGUUGUGCUUAACAAGUUGGUGACUGCCUGACUCU
rnacentral:sRNA from 1 species